AUUGCUGCUCGGCCUUUUUACUAAGAUCAAGUGUAGGUAUCUGUUCUUAUCAGUUUAACAUACAUUCUCUAUCCAAGGAUAACAUAUUAAGUGGAUUUUUAGAGCAGGGAGACAGUGUGUUGACCUGGGAGAGCAGUGCCACACCAUUAAAAAAAAAAAAAAGUAUUUUGUUUUAUAUAAAUGCUUUAAC